UACAGAGGUCUCAAGCGUUGUUCGGAUUCAUUGGGCGUAAAGGGUGCGUAGGCGGCGCGGUAAGUCGGGUGUGAAAGUCCAGGGCUCAACCCUGGGAUGCCGGUCGAUACUGCCGGACUAGAGUUCGGAAGAGGCGAGUGGAAUUCCCGGUGUAGCGGUGAAAUGCGCAGAUAUCGGGAGGAACACCUAUGGCGAAGGCAGCUCGCUGGGACGUUACUGACGCUGAGACGCGAAAGCGUGGGGAGCAAACAGG
rnacentral:rRNA from 1 species